CGCGAGUCCGAGAGGAGGGAAGAUCGCCGCGUUCUUCCGAUGAAGUGAGAGCUUCGUUACCUUUUUUCCUUCUUUGUGAAGUUGUUGCUCUUCUGGUCCUCGGUGUUCUCCGAUUCCGGCUUCUUUCUUCGGUGGAGUGAGAGCUUGGAACCCUAGGAUCGUCAGAUCGGAUGGCGGAUCGGCCCAGAAAAUAGAGUUGAGAACCGUUUCUUGGAUAGGAGAGGUGAUUUCAUCCAUCCAUUUUCCGGAGUUAAAUCUUCGAUUUUCUUUCUCUCUCUUUUUAUAUGCAAUAUUGCAAUGUUACUUAUUUUUUCACCCGAGUUUAAAAUCCAUACAUUUGAUUUCAACCUCCAACGUAGUAGCAUUCAGAAAGGAUUUAAGAAGAUCGACUAUUUGCUUUUUUAUUUUUUGACAACUUGAUAAAAUGACCAAGAUACUGUUUUUUUUAAAAAAAUGCUGAUCCUAUUCAUCGACUUCUUUUUAUUAAAUUAAUAAAUAUAUUUGCUGGCUUUCAGGUGGAAGCUCCUAGAAUUAGCUGGAUCUCUCUUAUUGCCGAAAGCAAGUCCUUUUACUUGGAUCUUAAAUAAGCUUAUCAUCUACCUCAUGUUUGUGAAUGUCCGCACUGUAAUACUAAUUUGGUAAAAGG